rnacentral:rRNA from 1 species
UACGGGAGGUGCAGCAGUUGUUCGGAAUUACUGGGCGUAAAGGGCGUGUAGGCGGUUCGGUAAGUGGAAUGUGAAAUCCCCCGGCUUACCGGGGAACUGCAUCCCAUACUGCUGGACUUGAGUGCGGGAGAGGAUGGAGGAAUUCCUGGUGUAGCGGUGAAAUGCGUAGAUAUCGGAAGGAACGCCGGUGGCGAAAGCGGCGUGCUGGACCU